CAGUAGCAGGCCGCAUAAUAUACAGAAGAGCAAUUGAUUGUUUGUAUCUACGUGAAUGCCGUAGAAGCUAUAGUAUGCCAUAUAAAGGGGCAGGUGAUUGUUUGGUACAUGUAGCUACAGUAUAGCCCAUGAAUAUUCCGCUGGCAGUUAGAGUUUAGGCCAUAGAUUUACAGUAAUGCUAGAUAUGUUAUGUUCCAUUAAGAGCUACAGUAGAGAGACCGAAGUAUUGCCAAAAGGUUUACUCCAGAGAUAGAGUAUUGACAUACUUACAGAGAGGGGCAGCUGAAAGCGACAGAAGGCCAAAAGGUUUACUCCAGAGAUAGAGUAUUGACUAUACUUACAGAGAGGGGCAGCUGAAAGAUACAGAAGGCCAAAAGGUUUACUCCAGAGACAUCACAAUAAGACCUCAAACCUCCUGUUGUUACAGUCAGGACCUGUUCCCCACUGGAACAGAGAACAGAUAACAUGGAACAGAGAAUUCACUAUAAAUAAAUGUAUCUUUUUUCUGUA